rnacentral:misc_RNA from 1 species
UCGGACGGCAUAUUUAUCGUCACACUGGAAACGUCAGAAACGAGGCAUAGCAAACGAGGCAAACGGCGACGGCGACAGCAACUGAGAAAAGCAUAAACGGAGAAGAGAGUUGGAGAGUUUCGGGCAGCCCAGGGCGUGUGAUAGCAACUGCAAUAAGUGCUAAAUAGAUUAAUCCCGAGACACAGUGACAUCGCAAGCAGCAAAAUGAGCGGCGGAGGCAUGGACAAGAGAAAACUCUCCACAUCGGGGGACUCGCUGUACGAGAUCCUGGGACUUCCGAAGACUGCCACCGGAGACGAUAUCAAGAAGACUUACCGGAAGCUGGCACUCAAAUACCAUCCGGACAAGAACCCCGACAACGUCGAUGCUUCCGAUAAGUUCAAGGAGGUGAACCGGGCGCACUCGAUUCUGAGCGACCAGACCAAACGCAAUAUCUACGACAACUAUGGCUCCCUGGGACUGUAUAUAGCCGAGCAGUUCGGCGAGGAGAAUGUGAAUGCAUACUUUGUGGUCACAUCGCCGGCGGUGAAGGCCUUGUUUAUCUGCUGUGCAGUGGUCACCGGCUGCUGCUGCUGUUGCUGCUGCUGCUGCUGUUGCAACUUCUGCUGCGGCAAGUUCAAGCCGCCGGUCAACGAAUCGCACGACCAGUAUGCACAUCUGAACCGCCCCGAUGGCAAUCGAGAGGCUAGUGAUCUGCCACCGCACCUGGGACAGCAGCCACGUCUUGAGGACGUUGAUCUGGACGACGUGAAUCUUGGUGCGGGCGGAGGCCCCGUCACCUCGCAGCCACGCGAGCAGUCCGGAGGACAGCCCGUCUUCGCCAUGCCACCGCCCAGUGGAGCAGCUGUGGGCGUGAAUCCAUUCACCGGCGCCCCCGUGGCGGCCAACGAGAACACGUCGCUGAACACCACAGAGCAGACAACAUACACGCCAGGUAUAUAAAGAGUCGAGCCAGCCAGCCAGCAGUCGGGGUCGAAGGUGGCAAGUGGCAUAGAAACGUAUCCCUAAAGCGUCUUUGACCAUCGAACUUGUUAAAUAUAUGGUUAAUCAAAAAUAUUAGGCGAGCCCAAGCCCCCUGUGCAUGCUUACGUUUCAGAUAUAGACACAGACACAUAAACAGAAACAGAAACAGAACAGAAGAAAAGUUAAGCAGAGCAAAAGCUGAUUUAUUUGAUAACUAUUAGAAUUGUUUUUAAGAUGAGUGCCCGUUAUGUUGAAACGAGAAAACAUAUAACUUAUGUAUUACUGUAAGCUGUAGCACUUAACUCUAAUUUUAAAUAAUUAUACUUUGAGGCGGCGCUGCCAGCUUCCAAUUAAUGCAAAUGCAGAUGCAGAUGCCGAUGCCAGUCAGGGUUGAUUUUGGUCCAUAAUUCGUGUAACCGUUUCAUCUUUCCAUUGUUCAGGCCAGGCCCCUCAGGUCUGCACCCGUGUACGCAUAGAUAUACAUAUAUACCAUACCUACAUAACAUACAACUCGAAACGAGAGCGCACCAAUAAUAUACAUACUAUAAAGAGUACGAGUAUAGUAUUUCGAUUCAAUUGUAUGCCGAUAGUUUAUCAAAUCAGAUCUAUGAAAUAUGUAUCUAAAAAUUUGCUUAGGAAAAGGACAGCGGAUCGCCCUCCUUCCUGCGUAGCUCCGUGAAUCGUAUUGUGUGUUUUAACCGAACCAAACCAAACCGAAUCGAAUCGAAUUGAUUCGACUCGACUCUACAGAAUUCAACGUGGAAGGAGGCACCUGUAAUUAUAUAUAUAUGUAUGUAAAUGAUAUAUGUAUAUUAGUUUGCAUUUGUGUCGUUGCCUAGCCUUCGGUUAGCUAAAUUGUUCUGGAAUUUUCCUCUUCACCGAUUGUUUCUGUUUCGCACCAAAUUGUUAAUGAAUUAACUUAUGUAAAG